AGCAUACUGCCGUGAAUACGUUCCCGGGCCUUGUACACACCGCCCGUCACACCAUGAGAGUUGGGAAUACCCGAAGCCUGUGAGCUAACAGUAAUGAGGCAGCAGUCGAAGGUAGAAUCAAUGAUUGGGGUGAAGUCGUAACAAGGUACC
rnacentral:rRNA from 1 species